GAUGAACGCUAGCUACAGGCUUAACACAUGCAAGUCGAGGGGUAACGAGAGGAAAGCUUGCUUUCCUUGUCGACGACCGGCGCACGGGUGAGUAACGCGUAUCCAACCUGCCCCCAACUAAGGAAUAACCUUGCGAAAGUAAGACUAAUACCUUAUAAUUUCCUCAGAUGUCAUCUGACGAGGAAUAAAGAUUUAUCGGUUGUGGAUGGGGAUGCGUCUGAUUAGCUUGUUGGCGGGGUAACGGCCCACCAAGGCAACGAUCAGUAGGGGUUCUGAGAGGAAGGUCCACCACAUGGGAACUGAGACACGGUCCAGACUCCUACGGGAGGCAGCAGUGAGGAAUAUUGGUCAAUGGGCGAAAGCCUGAACCAGCCAAGUAGCGUGCAGGAUGACGGCCCUAUGGGUUGUAAACUGCUUUUAUACAGGAAUAAAGUUAGCCACGUGUGGUUAUUUGUAGGUACUGUAUGAAUAAGGACCGGCUAAUUCCGUGCCAGCCGCCGCGGUAA
rnacentral:rRNA from 1 species